GUGCUUAACUGCUACCUAUUCCUGUCCAAAGCCCUGGGGUGAAAAAAUGUUACUCUUAAAAACUGGCAUUUUCCAAAGAAGCUAUGUCAGGAAUGGUGCAGGAGUGGCAGCUUCAAAAUCCUGACCAAAUUCCAAACUAGGUGUAAAGGAUUUCACAAGAUACAAGUAAGAGAUGCUGAAUGCAUCUGGAAAGAACAGCCUGUGCUAACCAGAGAAGAAAUGUGUUGAAACUGAAAAUUCUCCUGCUGUGCACAAGGAUGUAGCGGUUGGAGAUCUUGUCAUCAGCAGCCACGUACAGACGGAUGAACACAGAGCUGCUGUAC